rnacentral:lncRNA from 1 species
AAGGGGCACUCACAAUGAAAACACCAUCUAUUAUCAACAUUAAACUGAACGCAAGCAUGAUUCACAUCAUAGGUUUCUCGAGUUACCACUUCUGUUGAUUAACUGCUGUGCUCACUUCUGAUUGGGAUGUGGGUCACCUCUCAGCUCUCAGGCAGAAUUUACCCAAGGUCUUGCCUAGUAUGAGCCAGUGGGCAUUUCAACCUUGUUCACUUUGGAUUUGCCACUGCAACAGGGCUCAGUAGGAUCUAGCCCCUGGGCUGGGUAGCGCCCCCACCUCCCACGGCUGGCAGUAUCCUGGAGGGAGUGGCUGGUUGGCUGCUUGCUUUGAGUCAUGGGACACUAGUGGGAAGAAUCUGGCCAGUUCUAUUUUGGCCACGAGCUGGGAAAUCCCUUGGCUCUGGGCUUGCCGCUGGUAUAGAAACAAGGCCUCAGUCCCCUCACGGCGGGGGCUGUGCUGGAGGCAGAAGGGGAAAUGAAACACAACCCAAUCGCAUUGCUUCGACGCCCAAACAACUCCUGCUGCUUGUUGUUCCCUUUCUCCUCAACCAGCUGUUGUUAAAGCACCAACAAGCAGAGUGACAGCCACUGACUACC